UUUAAUAUGGCAGAUCAGUGCAAUAGGUUUAAACCCUAUAUACAAAGACCUAUUCUUUUAUUAAA
rnacentral:tRNA from 1 species